rnacentral:rRNA from 1 species
CCUACGGGAGGCAGCCGUGAGGAAUAUUGGUCAAUGGACGAGAGUCUGAACCAGCCAAGUAGCGUGAAGGAUGACUGCCCUAUGGGUUGUAAACUUCUUUUAUAUGGGAAUAAAAUGUUCCACGUGUGGGAUUUUGUAUGUACCAUAUGAAUAAGGAUCGGCUAACUCCGUGCCAGCAGCCGCGGUAAUACGGAGGAUCCGAGCGUUAUCCGGAUUUAUUGGGUUUAAAGGGAGCGUAGGUGGAUUGUUAAGUCAGUUGUGAAAGUUUGCGGCUCAACCGUAAAAUUGCAGUUGAAACUGGCAGUCUUGAGUACAGUAGAGGUGGGCGGAAUUCGUGGUGUAGCGGUGAAAUGCUUAGAUAUCACGAAGAACUCCGAUUGCGAAGGCAGUUCACUGGACUGCAACUGACACUGAGGCUCGAAAGUGUGGGUAUCAAACAGGAUUAGAUACCCCUGUAGUC